rnacentral:rRNA from 1 species
CAGCAGCCGCGGUAAAACGGAGGGUGCAAGCGUUAAUCAGAAUUACUGGGCGUAAAGCGCACGCAGGCGGUUUGUUAAGUCAGAUGUGAAAGCCCCCGGCUCAACCGGGGAGGGUCAUUGGAAACUGGGAAACUUGAGUGCAGAAGAGGAGAGUGGAGUUCCACGUGUAGCGGUGAAAUGCGUAGAGAUGUGGAGGAACACCAGUGGCGAAGGCGACUCUCUGGUCUGUAACUGACGCUGAGGAGCGAAAGCGUGGGGAGCGAACAGGAUUAGAUACCCCCGUAGUCCCUGUCUCUUAUAC